rnacentral:rRNA from 1 species
GAUUAAGUUAUUAAGGGCGCACGGUGGAUGCCUUGGCACUAGAAGCCGAUGAAGGACGUUACUAACGACGAUAUGCUUUGGGGAGCUGUAAGUAAGCUUUGAUCCAGAGAUUUCCGAAUGGGGAAACCCAGCAUGAGUUAUGUCAUGUUAUCGAUAUGUGAAUACAUAGCAUAUCAGAAGGCACACCCGGAGAACUGAAACAUCUUAGUACCCGGAGGAAGAGAAAGAAAAUUCGAUUCCCUUAGUAGCGGCGAGCGAAACGGGAAGAGCCCAAACCAACAAGCUUGCUUGUUGGGGUUGUAGGACACUCUAUACGGAGUUACAAAGGACGACAUUAGACGAAUCAUCUGGAAAGAUGAAUCAAAGAAGGUAAUAAUCCUGUAGUCGAAAAUGUUGUCUCUCUUGAGUGGAUCCUGAGUACGACGGAGCACGUGAAAUUCCGUCGGAAUCUGGGAGGACCAUCUCCUAAGGCUAAAUACUCUCUAGUGACCGAUAGUGAACCAGUACCGUGAGGGAAAGGUGAAAAGCACCCCGGAAGGGGAGUGAAAUAGAACCUGAAACCGUGUGCUUAC